AGAGAGAAUAGACGGGCUAUGUCAAAGAAACAAAAGAAAAAAAAUUGCAAAAAAAUGUGGUUACGCCACGUCAGCUAUAGAUGUCGGGAAUUAAUAUAGAGGUAUCGAUUAAGACCACUAAAUGAGUCUUUGAUUCAGUUUUUAUUUGGUACAUAAAUGAGAGAGAGAAUAGACUGGCUAUGUCAAAGACAAAGAAGAAAAAAAAUUGCAAAAAAAUGUGGUUGCACCACGUCAACUAUAGAUAUCGGGAUUAAUAUAGAGGUAUAGAUUAAAACUACUAAAUGAGUCUUUGAUUCAGUUUUUAUUUGGUAUAUAAAUGAGAGAGAGAAUAGACGGGCUAUGCAAAANAAAAAAAAAAAAAAAAAAAUUUGCAAAAAAAUAUGGAUGCGCCACGUUAGCUAUAGAUAUCGGGGAUUAAUAUAAAGGUAUAGAUAGAUAUCGGGGAUUAAUAUAGAGGCAUAGAUUAAAAGCACUAAAUGAGUCUUUAAUUCAUUUUUUGUUUGGUACAUAAAUGAGAGAGAAAAUAGACCGGCUAUGUCAAAGAAAAGAAAGAAAAAAAAUUAUAAAAAAAUGUAAUUACGCCACGUCAGCUAUAGAUAUCAGGAUUGAUAUAGAGUGGUGAGAAAUGAGAUUUAAAGAGUCAAAAUGAAGAAUUGAGAUUUCAAUAGUGGCAAAGUAAUUUUAACUAUAAAAUUAAGGAGGCCAAUAAAAUUCAUUAAAGACUGUUUUUUAUACGUUAAGAAGUCCAAAAAAUCCAAUACAACUUGUAAUAGAAGCCAAUUAAGACCACUAAAUGAGUUUUUGAUUCAGUUUUUAUUUGGUAUAUAAAUGAAAGAGAGAAUAGACGGGCUACGUCAAAGAAAAAAAUUGCAAAAAAAUGUGGGUGCGCCACGUCAGCUAUAGAUAUUGGGGAUUAAUAGAGAGGUAAAUGAGUUUUUGAUUCAGUUUUUAUUUGGUAGAUAAAUGAGAGAGAAAAUAGACGGGUUAUGUCAAAGAAAAAAAAAAUUGCAAAAAAAUGUGGCUGUGCCACGUCAGCUAUAGAUAUCGGGGAUUAAUAUAGAGGUAUAGAUUAAGACCACUAAAUGAGUCUUUUAUUCAGUUUUCAUUUGGUACAUAAAUGAAAGAGAGAAUAGACAGGCUAUGUCAAAGAAAAAAAAGGAAAAAAAUUACAAAAAAAUGUGGUUGCGCCACGUCAGCUAUAGAUAUCGGGGAUUAAUAUAGAGGUAUAGAUUAAGACCACUAAAUGAGUCUUUUAUUCAGUUUUUAUUUUGUACAUAAAUGAGAGAGAGAAUAGACGAGCUAUGUCAAAGAAAAAAAAGAAGAAAAACUGUGAAAAAAAAUCUAGUUGCGCCACGUCAGCUAUAGAUAUCGGGGAUUAAUAUAGAGGUAUAGAUUAAGACCACUAAAUGAGUCUUUUGUUCAGUUUUUAUUUGGUACAUAAAUGAAAGAGAGAAUAUAUGGGCUAUGUCAAAGAAAAAAAAAUUGCAAAAAAAUGUGGUUACGCCACGUUAGUUAUAGAUAUUGGGGAUUAAUAUAGAGAAUAUAGAUUAAGACCACUAAAUGAGUUUUUAUUCAGUUUUUAUUUGUUACAUAAAUGAGAGAGAGAAUAGAUGGGCUAUAUUAAAGAAAAAAAAAGAAAAAAAAUUGCAAAAAAAUGUGGUUACGCCACGUCAGCUAUAGAUAUCGAGGAUUAAUAUAGAGGUAUAGAAGAUAGAUGAGUCUUUUAUUCAGUUUUUAUUUGGUACAUAAAUGAAAGAGAGAAUAGAUUGGCUAUGUCAAAGAAAAAAAAAUAGUUGCAAAAAAAAAUGGUUGCGCCACGUCAGCUAUAGAUAUCGGGGAUUAAUAUAGAGGUAUAGAUUAAUAUAGAGAUAUAGAUUAAAACCACUAAAUAAGUCUUUUAUUCAGUUUUUAUUUGGUUCAUAAAUGAGAGAGAGAAUAGACGGGCUAUAUCAAACAAAAAAAGAAAAAAAAUUGUAAAAAAAUAUGGUUAUGCCACGUCAGCUAUAGAUGUCGGGGAUUAAUAUAGAGGUAUAGAUAGAUAAAUGAGUCUUUUAUUCAGUUUUUAUUUGGUACAUAAAUGAGAGAGAGAAUAGAUGGGUUAUGUCAGAGAAAAAAAAUUGCAAAAAAAUGUGGUUGCGCCACGUCAGCUAUAGAUAUCGGGAAUUAAUAUAGAGGUAUAGAUAGAGGUAUAGAUUAAUAUAGAGAUAUAGAUUAAAACCACUAAAUAAGUCUUUUAUUCAGUUUUUAUUUGGUUCAUAAAUGAGAGAGAGAAUAGACGGGCUAUGUCAAACAAAAAAAGAAAAAAAAUUAUAAAAAAAUAUGGUUAUGCCACGUCAGCUAUAGAUGUCGGGGAUUAAUAUAGAGGUAUAGAUAGAUAAAUGAGUCUUUUAUUCAGUUUUUAUUUGGUACAUAAAUGAGAGAGAGAAUAGAUGGGUUAUGUCAGAGAAAAAAAAUUGCAAAAAAAUGUGGUUGCGCCACGUCAGCUAUAGAUAUCGGGAAUUAAUAUAGAGGUAUAGAUAUGUGGGCCAGUCCCGCCUCCCUGUUCUCAAAAUAAUUUUUGUACAUAACUAACUUUACUUUAAAAAUUAGUUUUGAUUAAAAAUUAUAAAGUAUUUGUCUGAAUUUAAAUAAAAAUAAUUUUUUAAAGUAAUUUUAUAAAAUUGUUUGGUAAAAAAAAUUUGGUGUUUGCUAGUCUUAAUUUUUUAAUGAAUUUUAUUUUAAAAAUAAUUA
rnacentral:lncRNA from 1 species